rnacentral:rRNA from 1 species
CCUACGGGAGGCAGCAGUAGGGAAUNUUCGGCAAUGGGCGAAAGUCUGACCNAGCCACGCCGCGUGAGUGAAGAAGGUUUUCGGAUCGUANANCUCUGUUGUUAGAGAAGAACAAGGUCGUUAGUAAUCUCAACGUCCCCUANCGGUAUCUANCCANAAAGCCACG